UACGGAGGGUGCAAGCGUUAUCCGGAUUCACUGGGUUUAAAGGGUGCGUAGGUGGGCAGGUAAGUCAGUGGUGAAAUCUCUGGGCUUAACCCGGAAACUGCCAUUGAUACUAUUUGUCUUGAAUACUGUGGAGGUCAGCGGAAUAUGUCAUGUAGCGGUGAAAUGCUUAGAUAUGACAUAGAACACCAAUUGCGAAGGCAGCUGGCUACACAAAUAUUGACACUGAGGCACGAAAGCGUGGGGAUCAAACAGG
rnacentral:rRNA from 1 species